GGUAACAUCGAUUUUUGGCAAGCCAACAUCGAUAUUUUUCAUCUCUAACUGCUCUUCAAAUCGGAAAACGUGCAAAUUUGUUCUGUUGGUGGUGUUGGAUAGAGAAUUUCCAUUUAUUGGUGCAUAUGUAUGUAUGCACAUAUGCCUAUGCUUGAAUGCUUGAUUGCACGUAAGCACAUGUCUUGAACCUGAAAAUCAGAUGAGAAUGAACAGGAGCUAGCUCCAAAAAAGAAGAGGAAAGCUUUCAUUUCUCGGGAUCAUCGGUCCAGAAAUUUGGUUUACGUUCCCGCUUCAUCGUGUGAGUCAAAACGCGUUUUUAGCAAACCUGGACAAAUGAUUUCCGACCGUCGGACUUUCUUCAUUCGUCGUCCAUGGACUGCGUUGGAACAGGGCUCAACUGCAAAAACAUCGGCUAAUAGGGUAUUUCCACAGAGAUCCAUCCACCUUCCACCAUUCGUUGAAGGGAUGGUCCAUAAGGUUUUGCCGGUCCAAAAACUUCCCAGUUAGUCCGCCGUUAAACUUUGACGGACUUUAACGCACAAAUUUAUGCGAUGGAUGGAUCUCUGUGGAAAUAGUCUAUAAAGAUAGAAACACUAUCAGGCCUGUUCCGGUUUUUAUUUGGAAGUGCAUUUGAUAACAUUUUCAAAUAACCCUUUAACAUAGGCAAAUUGCACUUCUUUUGGUCCUUUAUGUUCCCAAACAAAAUCAGUUGACUGGCAGCUGACCCCUAUUGACAAGGGCGUUUGAUUUGUCAGAGUUUUGCUGCCUCAGGGCUGAUAACAUUUUUGCCCGCUGGUGUUCCUUAGCUUAUGGGAUUAAUGGUAUACAAAUUUUAGCGCAUAAAAUCGAAGGAACUAGCAUUGGCGGCCAAAAAUAUAAAUUUUCAAAUUUUUGUACGCCGCAUUUAGCCUGUGCUAGAAAAUGCUGGUGUCAGUGCUGUUAACUUUUCACAAAUAGUGUUGAGAACCAGAGUUGUCAGAAUUUUACGGAAGUAAACAGAGAAUUAACAGAGGGAAUUUAGAUUCCGUGUGAAUUUUUCGGAAGUGAAAACUGGGACGUGUCUGGGAUAUUCGAAUCCGUGUGAAUCUUUCGGAAGUAAAACCUGAACAGGCCUGCAUAUGCAAACAUCACUGCUCCUAUUAAAUUAAUUAAAAAUUAUAAACUGUCGACGUGUUUGGAAAAUCACUGAAGAAAGGGAAAUAGCCAAUUCAAAUUCAAGCCUGUUUCCACACAGUCCAUGGAAACGGUUAGAAUUUUUUGACAAAUGUGAAACUCCGAAAUCCACCCUCCGUUUUCAUGACAUUUCAAGUUAUACUGAACCGAUUCCUUUGAAAAUUGGCAUAUAUAUUGUUUAUACUACUCCCUAUCGCGUCUACCUCGGACUUGACAAAAUUUUGAUUAAAAUAUUUGAAAAUGUCAAAUAAGUGGUUAAAAAACAUUUUUUGUUUUCAAGUCGUUUGUUGAAAGUGGUCGACCCGAUAACGGAAUUUUUACUAAUGAACAAUUUGUUUGAAAUCAUAUCAACCAGGACGCCGCGAUUUUUUCGAAGACCCCACACUCUGCGAAUGUUAAUUUUUUUAUAUUUUGUUUAUUUUCUGUUUUCUUAAAAU